rnacentral:rRNA from 1 species
GACGAACGCUGGCGGCGUGCUUAACACAUGCAAGUCGAACGGAAAGGCCCGGCGUUUGUGGCGUGCUCGAUUGGCGAACGGGUGAGUAACACGUGAGUAACCUGCCCUUGACUUUGUGAUAACUUCAGGAAACUGGGGCUCAUACCCGAUAGAAGCUCCUGCUGCACGGGGGGCGUUGGAAAGUUUCGGCGGUUGUGGAUGUACUCGCGGCUUAUCAGCUUGUUGGGGGGGUAGUUGCUUACCAAGGGUUUGACGGGUAGCCUGCCUGAGAGGGUGGACGGCGACAUUGGGACUGAGAGACGGCGCAGAAUCGUACGGGAGGCAGCAGUGGGGAAUCUUGCAGAAUGGGCGGAAGCCUGAUGCAGAAACGCCGCGUGCGGGAUGACGGGCUUCGGGUUGUAAACAGAUUUCGCAUGUGACGAAGCGUGAGUGACGGUAAUGGGUAAAGAAGCAACGGCUAACUACGUG